AACGAACGCUGAUGGCGUGCUUUAUACAUGCAAGUCGAGCGAGGCGGGGCAACCUAGCCGAGCGGCGCACGGGUGAGUAACACGUGAAUAACUUUCCCUUCAGUUGGGGACAACCACUGUAACCGGUGGCUAAUACCGAAUAUUGUAUUUGAACUGCAUGGUUUGGGUACAAAAGGAGCAAUUCGCUGAAGGAUAGAUUCGCGUCUGAUUAGCUUGUUGGUGGGGUAACGGCCUACCAAGGCGAUGAUCAGUAGCCGGCCUGAGAGGGUGAUCGGCCACAUCGGGACUGAGAUACGGCCCGGACUCCUACGGGAGGCAGCAGUAGGGAAUUUUGCGCAAUGGACGAAAGUCUGACGCAGCAACGCCAUAUGUGGGAUGACGCUUUUCGGAGUGUAAACCACUGUCGUCAGGGAAUAAUGUGCAGGGUGACUUGCAUUGAAUGUACCUGGAGAGGAAGCCCCGGCUAACUUCGUG
rnacentral:rRNA from 1 species